UCCCAGGUGGCUCAGAUGGUAAAGAAUCUGCCUGCAAUGCAGGAGACCUGGGUUCAAUCCCCUGGGAA
rnacentral:tRNA from 1 species